rnacentral:rRNA from 1 species
UACGGAGGGAGCUAGCGUUGUUCGGAUAUACUGGGCGUAAAGCGCACGUAGGCGGCGCAGCAAGUCAGGGGUGAAAUCCCGGAGCUCAACUCCGGAACUGCCUUUGAAACUGUAGUGCUAGAAUCCUGGAGAGGCGAGUGGAAUUCCGAGUGUAGAGGUGAAAUUCGUAGAUAUUCGGAAGAACACCAGUGGCGAAGGCGACUCGCUGGACAGGUAUUGACGCUGAGGUGCGAAAGCGUGGGGAGCAAACAGG